rnacentral:rRNA from 1 species
AGCAGCCGCCACGGUAAUACGUAGGGUGCGAGCGUUAAUCGGAAUUACUGGGCGUAAAGGGCGCGUAGGUGGUUGUGUAAGUGAGAUGUGAAAUCCCCGGGCUCAACCUGGGAACUGCGUCUUAUACUGCAUAGCUUGAGUACAAUAGAGGGUAGUGGAAUUUCCGGUGUAGCGGUGAAAUGCGUAGAUAUCGGAAGGAACACCAGUGGCGAAGGCGGCUACCUGGAUUGAUACUGACACUGAGGCGCGAGAGCGUGGGGAGCAAACAGGAUUAGAUACCCCGGUAGUCCCUGUCUCUUAUAC